rnacentral:rRNA from 1 species
GAUGAACGCUGGCGGCGUGCUUAACACAUGCAAGUCGAACGAAGCACUUUAAUCGAUUUCUUCGGAUUGAAAUUUUAGUGACUGAGUGGCGGACGGGUGAGUAACGCGUGGGUAACCUGCCUCACACAGGGGGAUAACAGUUGGAAACGGCUGCUAAUACCGCAUAAGCGCACAGUACCGCAUGGUACAGUGUGAAAAACUCCGGUGGUGUGAGAUGGACCCGNGUCUGAUUAGCUAGUUGGCAGGGCAACGGCCUACCAAGGCGACGAUCAGUAGCCGACCUGAGAGGGUGACCGGCCACAUUGGGACUGAGACACGGCCCAAACUCCUACGGGAGCAGCAGUGGGGAAUAUUGCACAAUGGGGGAAACCCUGAUGCAGCGACGCCGCGUGAGCGAAGAAG